rnacentral:misc_RNA from 1 species
UAUUUAUUUGCGCUGUUACACGCUAUAGCAUUAACCAUUCUAUAACUUUGUAUAAGUUUAUAAUAAAAUUCAUAGCUGGGGCUUUCAACAUCAUUUCUAAUAUUGUAAUCAUCCCAAGCUACACAUAGUGCACAGGUGUGAGAGAUAGAUGUAUGAUCAAGGUGUGCACAUGCCCCAAAAGGCCAGCUACAACCCUUCUCACUAUUCAUUUCAUUAAUGAUCCUUCCGCAGGUUCACCUACGGAAA